UUAAAAAAUUACACAUAUGGGCCAAAAUACUUUUUGAUGCCUAAAAACUGGUCCCUCCGAAAGAAUAAUUAAUUUUAUGGGAUAUCAGUACAAAAUUGCGCAAAAAGUAUACUUAUAUCGAAAUAUAACAUUAUUUUCUAACGCAGAAAACAAGAUUUGACCGGGAAAAUAUGUUAUUUUUCCUAAAAUUGCGGUAACAACGUUGUAAUUUCUUGGUAACGCAGUCGUUCUUAGUACAAAAUAUUGCUGUCCUUGAGCACUGUGUCAAGAUGUACUUAGCUAUUUCUCCCAAUAUUUCCUAGGUGGCGUUGAAUCUUAAAUGUCCCUAUGAAAAUGUAACAUUUGAACCUUAUUACAACGCCAAUAGAUAUUUUUUACAUUAAAUAGUUCAUGGAAUAAAAAAAUAUUUAGUCUGUGUCCCCAACAAAGAACAAAAUCGUAACUACCUUGCGUUGCUAUAUGAAAAUAAACCUUAAAGUGAGUGUGUUACAUUUUAUUUCACUUCAUUUCGUUCGACUUAUUGUAACUAUUAGAACGAAUGAUAGCAACUGCGCGGGGGGGAGACCGCUAGCCGGAUCAGUCGCGUCACAGUCGUUGAGAGAGGUGCGUGUGUUUAUUGCGUGGCCGCUGAGUUACCGCUGUCGAAAGAAAGAAGCUUCUGCACUAAAUGGCGUUAACGAACGCAGAAAAGCAACGUCGUUAUAGGCUUAAAUUAAAGUUGGACCCUAUAAAAAAUGCUGAAGCCAAAAAAAAACAUCUUGAAAGGUACCACGCAAAUAAAAAACUUGUAAAAGAUAUGACAGAGCGUGAACACAGAAAUAUCAAGCGUAAAUGGAAGACUGCGAACAAGAAACGACGAGAACGUCAAAAGUGUGCUCAACAAAUUAUGAACAUUACACCGGCGUCCAGCCCACGGUCAGGAACUCCAGUUUCACCGAGAUCUAGAGGCCGAAAACAAAUACGAAGAGAUCGCUCUGCAGUUUACAGAAAAAAUCUGAAAAUUCAGGAAGAACUCGAAAAGAUGAAACGGCUGUGCGAUAAAUACAAAAAGAGAUACCAACGAGCUAAAACCACAAUCAAAGACACGAAAAAAAUAAAUAAGCUUAACCAAAACAAGUAUUCAACGAUAUCUAAUGCAAUCAAAGACCAUUACAAAAGCUUGAAGUCAGUGAGAGAGAAGAAAGCCUUAAAACGAAUUUUCCAAGGAGAAGGCAUAGCCAAGUCUAGAAUGAAGAUUAGUAUUAUACGCGAGACUUUGGGCAUUGAUCAGAUGAAAGUGAUGAAACGACAGAAUAACCCUUUAGGGAAAAAGCUUCUGGUUGAUAAUAUUAAAAGCUUUUUUGACCGUGAUGAUGUUUCUAGAGCUACGGCGGGUAAACGGGAAACUGUCACCUUUAAAAAAAUAAAAAUGCAGAAGCGCCAUUUACUGGACACGAUGAAAGGCCUAUUUCGUUCAUUCAAAAAAGAAAACCCAGAACUGAGAUGUUCUUAUUCAUAUUUCAUAAAAAAUAGGCCUUUUUACGUAAAACCGCCUUCAGUUGCUGGAAGAGAGACUUGCCUAUGCAAGACACAUACAAAUGCGCAGUAUAUUAUAGAUGCUCUUCACAAAACAAGAGUCCUUGCCACCUCAAACAUGAACGAACUUAUCGCUAGCACAGUAUGCUCGACAUAUAACAAAGCUUGUAUGACUGGCAAUUGUAAAGAUUGUAAGACAAAAGAAAUACUUUUUAGGGAAACAACAGGUAAUCUCGGAUUAGUGAAAUGGGCUCAUUGGAUAAGGAAAUCGGAAAUGAUUGAAAAAUCAGGCAAAAAAGUAAAAGUUACUAAAAACGUAAAGGAAAUAGCUGAAGGAACAGUUGAAGAAUUGAUAGGAAACUUAAAACAGACUUUGAUACUAUUAAAGAAACAUAUUUACAACAUUAAAAUACAGUACAAGAGUUAUCGAAAUGCUAUAGAUAAUUUGAAUAAUAACGAAGUCGUUCUGCAUGUCGACUUUAGCGAAAACUAUAACUGUAAGCAUUUUGAAGAGGUGCAGUCCCACCAUUUUGGCGGAUCAAGAAAGCAAGUAACUUUACAUACGGGAGUUAUGUACACAAAACCUGAAGGACAUGACAAGCCAACUGUAAAUUCAUUUUGUACCAUUUCUGCGAAUAAUUCCCAUAACCCUGCCUCCAUUUGGGCACACCUACAUCCAAUUAUUCGCGAAAUACAACACAACAACCGUCACAUAACUACAGUUCACUUUUUCUCCGAUGGACCAGCUACUCAAUACCGGCAGAAGCAAAAUUUUUAUUUCAUAAGUCACAGACUAUUCAGCGAAUACAAUUUCAUCCGCGUUACAUGGAAUUUCUUUGAAGCUGGUCAUGGAAAAGGCUGCUGAUGGCGUUGGUGGCUACCUCAAACGCACCGCAGAUGAAAAAGUAGCUGCUGGUUCCGAUAUUUCUGAUGCAGAAGCUUUUUAUUACACUUUGAAGGAUUUGAGCAAGGUUCGAAUGUACUUACUGACUGAAAGCGACAUUCAAAUCGUUGAAAAAGCACUACCUAAAAACCUAGUGCCACUCCAGGGUACUAUGCAAGUACAUCAAGUUUUUACUGACACUCCCGGUGAACUUCAAUACAGAGACCUCAGUUGCUUUUGCGAAAGGGGUUUUUGCCGUUGCAUGAAUCCAAAAACAUAUCAGCCUGUUACUGUUCCUGUCAUUAAUACACUUAGACAAGAUAUUCUUUCGUUUGAAUUGGAUGAGGAAUCAGUCCUAGAUGACAUUUCUAAUGUCGUUGCCGUACCUAGAAGAUCAUAUUAUAAUACGGUUUAUUCCUCAUCUUCCAACUCUGACGACGAACCUUUAGCAAGAUUUAGCCAACCAUCGGUUUCUAAUAUAAACGAAAUGCAGCUGAUUGAAAAGGAAAAUGUUCAUCCUUCAAAAAUAUCUGACGGUGUCCAUGUUUUAAUAAAAGUGUCUUCUGUCAAAGACAAACACUACACCUACCUCGGCGUUGCUAAAAGUGAAGUCGAUGAAGAAGGAGACGUAAAAAUUAUGUUUUACAAGAUGGUAGAUAAAACUGGCAAAAGAUUCAAAGCAGUGGAGACUGAUAUUUCUUACGAGCCUUACGAUAACAUCUUGGAAAUUGUUCCUAACCCUAAAGUUAUCGUAAAAGGUAAAAGGGUAUAUUUUCAUUACGAUGAAGCAAUUAACGUAUAUGAAAAGUAAGACUGAAUUAUUUGUAUUAAAUUUGCUAAGUUUGUUGUUUUUGAAGUUAUUUGAGUUACUUGAUACUAUAUCACGUCAUAAGAAGUAAAAUUUUGUUUUGUUUUAUCAUUAUAACAGAUCUCUAUAGAAAGUACUAAGUAUAGUAUGUAAGAAAAUACUACUGUGUUACUAAGCUUACUACUGCGUUACUUUUGUGUCCCUUUGAUUAUUGUAGUAAUUUCAGUAAUACAUGGGCUUCUAGUGAUCUUAAAUGCCUGAACCUCUUACGUACGUAUUAUUGAUCAAAAGUGGAAGGUUAUGCCAUUAGGUGGUAUUCAAUAUAAGUUGUUUUUUGUUAUUAAUAGGAAAGUUUAAGUUUUAAAAUGACACUUUGGUAACGCAGUAAUCUUAAUUAUUAAGAAUACUCCAUGAAACUGAUUAUUUCUGUGAUUUAACUUACUAAGAGCUAAAUGUAAGCGUUACAGUUUAAAACUGACAUAUUGAAAAGUCUGAUUGUGCAAUUUUAAUAAAAAAAGUUAAUUUUGUAAAAAAGUAA